UACGAACUGUGCGACCGUUAUUCGGAAUCACUGGGCUUACAGGGUGCGUAGGCGGCUUUUCAAGUCAGGUGUGAAAGCCCCCGGCUCAACCGGGGAAUUGCGCUUGAAACUGGAGAGCUCGAGUCAGCUAGAGGUGCACGGAACUUCCAGUGGAGCGGUGAAAUGUGUUGAUAUUGGAAGGAACACCGGAGGCGAAAGCGGGGCACUGGGGCUGGUCUGACGCUGAGGCACGAAAGCCAGGGUAGCGAACGGG
rnacentral:rRNA from 1 species